UACGUAGGGUGCGAGCGUUGUCCGGAAUUAUUGGGCGUAAAGAGCUCGUAGGCGGUCUGUCGCGUCGAUCGUGAAAACUUGGGGCUUAACCCUGAGCUUGCGGUCGAUACGGGCAUGACUGGAGUUCGGCAGGGGAGACUGGAAUUCCUGGUGUAGCGGUGAAAUGCGUAGAUAUCAGGAGGAACACCGGUGGCGAAGGCGGCCCUCUGGACGGUGACUGACGCUGAGACGCGAAAGCGUGGGGAGCAAACAGG
rnacentral:rRNA from 1 species